rnacentral:rRNA from 1 species
AGUGAACGCUGGCGGUAGGCCUAACACAUGCAAGUCGAACGGCAGCACAGUAAGAGCUUGCUCUUACGGGUGGCGAGUGGCGGACGGGUGAGGAAUACAUCGGAAUCUACUUUUUCGUGGGGGAUAACGUAGGGAAACUUACGCUAAUACCGCAUACGACCUACGGGUGAAAGCAGGGGAUCUUCGGACCUUGCGCGAAUGAAUGAGCCGAUGUCGGAUUAGCUAGUUGGCGGGGUAAAGGCCCACCAAGGCGACGAUCCGUAGCUGGUCUGAGAGGAUGAUCACGUACACUGGAACUGAGACACGGCCCAGACUCCUAUGGGAGGCAGCAGUGGGUAAUCUUGGACAAUGGGCGCAAGCCUGAUCCAGCCAUACCGCGUGGGUGAAGAAGGCCUUCGGGUUGUAAAGCCCUUUUGUUGGGAAAGAAAAGCAGCAGGUUAAUACCCCGCUGUUCUGACGGUACCCAAAGAAUAAGCACCGGCUAACUUCGUG